CUCACCAGCUGCUGAUGUUGCUCCCCUUUGCUUUGUGUGGGACAGGUGUGAACUGAGUAUUCAGAGUUCUGCCCUGCGGAUGGCUUCCCCGAUCCUUCCCAGCUGCCACUGGCCUCUCUGCAUCAUCUGGAGCGCUGGGGCCACCUCCACCUUCUUGAUGGGACAUGUGGAUUCCAGAGGAAAUGCCAGGGCCAGAGGCUAAUGGCGCAGGCAUCAAAAUGACCAACUGGGCAGGCUCCAGAAUUGGGUUUUGAUGCUUGCAUGGAAUAUAAGGAACCUCCUAAGCUGGAGGGUGAUGCACUUGAGGCCUCAGCUGCCAGCAAGCCUGAGGGUCAAGGGUUUGGCUUCCUGAAGAACAUCCAACAGGAGCAUCUCAAGAAAAAACUAUACACCAAGUGGAGACUGACAUGCAGAUUCCCUGGCCUCCAGCUUAGGGUACAGAGGAACCUGAGCCAGGACAACCGUUGGCUUCUCCACCUGAGUAAGACUUGGUGAAGCUGAAGACAAAGAGCCCUGAUUAUGAAACUACAUGAGAAUCUGGCGCACAGAUGGGAGCACCAUAGUGGCCUGCCGUCUGGUUUCUCCUCAGCCCCAUGAUGCACAGGGCUGGACACCAGAGUCGUGAUUGGGGAAACGAGACCUGCUCGUUGGGACUGGCCCUGUCUGGAGAUCUCUGCAGCCAAUCACAGCGAUCAGUAAGAGGAGAAUGAAUAAGACCCAAUUUACCCCAGAUCACCAACCUGCUGAGAAAACUGGAAUGAAGAGGAGAUGUGAUACAGGAACAUCGAGCCUAAACUGAGAAAUGAGAUGGUGGAGACUGGGAGUAUCUUUCUAUGUGCUGCUUUCAAGGUUCACAGGGAAAAACAGUUGCCACGGAGCAGCCGGAUGUGGAUCCCUGUGUUCCGAAAGCAGCAGGAAUCUCAAGUCUCUCCAAGUACUCUACCUUUCUUUGCUUUCCAACCCCACCGAUCCUCCAGAGCAUCA